rnacentral:rRNA from 1 species
AGGGUUUGACAUCCUGCGAAUCCCCUGGAAACGGGGGAGUGCCUUCGGGAACGCAGWGACAGGUGGUGCAUGGCUGUCGUCAGCUCGUGUCGUGAGAUGUUGGGUUAAGUCCCGCAACGAGCGCAACCCUCGUCGUUAGUUGCCAGCAUUCAGUUGGGCACUCUAGCGAGACCGCCGGUGAUAAACCGGAGGAAGGUGUGGAUGACGUCAAGUCAUCAUGCCCCUUACAUCCUGGGCUACACACGUACUACAAUGCUACGGACAAAGGGCAGCAAGCUCGCGAGAGKUAGCAAAUCCCAUAAACCGUGGCUCAGUUCAGAUCGUAGGCUGCAACUCGCCUACGUGAAGGAGGAAUCGCUAGUAAUCGCAGGUCAGCA